AUGAAGUGGCACCAGGAUGGUGACAAAGAUCAUUCUGCUGAAACGGCAUCAAGAAUUUCUGAAAUAAUGAAAAAGCUUGACGAAGACGGUGUCCUUGACAGGAUUGCGAGGGAGCCUUUUGUGAUGGCAAAUCGUCGCUUAGUGCUGGCUGUCCAUCAUAACUUGGAUUAUUUGGCAUUCGUCAACAGCCUUCCAAAGUCACAGAAGGAGCUGGAACUUAAAUUCAGUCAGUUUGCUGGCAUUAGCUUAUUUUCUUCGAAGGGAACACCCCAAGCAGUGUUUGCCGCUGCUGGUGCUGUUAUCAGGGGCUGUGAAUUAGUUGUAGGUGGAUAUUAUAAUCAAGCCUUUGCAGUGGUCAGGCCUCCGGGGCACCACGCUGAUAAAAGCUGGGCCGAAGGCUUUUGCUAUUUUAACAAUAUUGCAAUUGGUGCAAGGCAUCUGCUUGACCAUUAUCGAUUGAAGCGAAUUUUGGUGGUGGACUUUGAUGUCCACCACGGCAACGGUACUCAGGAGAUAUUUUAUGAUAAUAAGCAUGUCCUUUUCUUUUCGAGUCACUGUGGAGAUCUUACUUAUCCUAAGUCGAACAGUAAGGCAUCUCAUAUUGGAGAGGGUGCUGGCGAGGGCUACAAUAUCAAUUUUCCGUUGGCAGAGGGUUUUAAUGAGGAUGACCUACUUUAUGCUGUCAAUAAAAUUCUUCUCCCGGUGGCGACUAAGUUCGAUCCUGAGGUGGUGCUUGUUUCAGCUGGUUUCGAUGCUGGCAUUGAUGAUAUGGGUGGUUGCAAUGUCUCUUCUAAGGGUUUCGGAACAGUAGUGCGUAAGUUGCUGUGCCUUGCGGGAGGAAAGAUGGUUCUUGCUCUAGAAGGAGGUUACAAUCUGAAGCAUCUUCCGACGCACGUUUCUCACAGUAUACGUGCUAUCUUGGGGGACGAAGACGCCUUUUUCCCGGACUAUGAUCAGACAGACCAUCGUCCGAGCGAGAGCACCAUCAGUAUGGCAGACAACCUCCAGCUGAAAUUGAGUCCGUAUUGGGAUGUUUUCGUGGAAAAACCUCCAGGGCCAACACCUGAGGGCGAAACUCCGCCUCGUCCUGGUGCUGUCGGUGGGGAUCCCAGUGGUGCCCUUGGGAGUCACUCCAGCUCCUGA
rnacentral:rRNA from 1 species